rnacentral:lncRNA from 1 species
UAAUAUAGUAGAUCUCUAUUUAUUUGUAAAAGAUUGAUGUUUUGUGUUUUAGAAAAAAAUGUAUUUGGACUAUGAGUAGAAUUAUUGGUUAAGUUAUAACUGUUUAUUUAGCUGGUGGUUACUGGACAUCUUUUCCAGUCAUUAUUCUCAUCCAGAUCAGUUGCGAUUUUUUAGUUUACUAAGGCUUUGCUGUGAGUCUAUGUUCAAUGAUGCUAUCACCACAUAUGUUGUAUUACAAUUACUCUUUAUACAUACUGUGAAAAAUAGAAACAGUAUACAAGGAAACAUUUCCUUUUAUUAAUCCCUUAUAGAUAUUAUUGCUGAAGCUGUCUAUUGAUGUGGCAGUUUUAUUAGUUAGAAAAUUGUAAGAGUACAUCCCUAUAAAGAGUAGCUCUUUGGAAUCAUAAAUUGGAAAUAAAGCAAUCUCUCCCUUGCCGCUUUUUCAUUUUGAUAAAUUAUAUUGAUGAGAAGUAUGAUAAAACAAAGUUUUCACAGUGGAAGGUUCUACUUGUAUUUUUAAGACACAAAUAAAUUACCUUGGUUUACUAGUGUGCUGCUACUUUUUGAGAAGUCUAGAUUGAUCAUAGGAGGCAGAAUGGUGUAAUGGUUUGGAGUUUAAAAAAUUAAAUUUGCUCUUUGUCUUCAAAAUUUACUCUAUGACAUUGAGCAAGGUAAUCAGCCUUUGUGAGUGUCAAUUUUCUGGUUUGUAAGACCAAUAAAAUGUUUACUGCCUUGAGGGUUUUGAUAGGUUUUUGGAGUGAUGUAAUGACACAUGAUCCUUUCCAAGUAGCAUAACUCAACUAGCAUAAAAUUCAUAUAUUAGAUUAGAUGGCUAGGAUGAAACCUACAUUACCACACAAAACAAAUUUGACUUUUUCUUCAUUGAAGUUCACCCUAUUCUUUAAGUGGCUAUAUUGUUCCAAAUUCCCUAAAAUACUGCAAGUUGAAAUAAAUACUGCCAUUGCAGUAGACAGAUAGAAAAGUUAUAGAUUAUGUUACUAUAUCCAAAGUAGUCUUAAUAAGAGUAAGAUUAAUCAUUAUUAAUGAUUUCCAAUAAUAAUUGUUAUUAGGCAUUUUGGUGUUGGGAACUCUUGAAGUUGCCAAAAAGAAGAAAAUAGAUAAUACCUGAAAGUAUGUUCCCUAAAUUUUCCACAAUUUUUGUAUUACAGAAUUCAAUUUAGGAGUAGAACAUAUGAUAGGAGAAAAUAACCCACAUUUUUGGUGUUAUAUAAUUUAGCCCAGACAUCCAUAGUGAAAUAUUGAAGAUGAGUACAAAACAAUCAGGUAAAGAUGAAGAUGUCAAUAAUCCAAGAUGAAAGAACAGCAUCCUUACAGGAUUGGAGACCAGAAGAAGAGUAGUAUUUUUUGGAUAUAGAAAGUAGGAUAUAGGAGCCAUGGUGAGAGAGGAUAAUAGAAGUGAGGCUAUUAGAUGAUUUAUAUGUCAUCCAUACAGAGGGUUGUGGCCCAUCAAAAUUUUAGUUUAGAAAUAUCAUUGUUGUGGUAGCUUGGAAAGUGGAAUAAAAUCAGAAGUGUAGAGACUACCUUAGAGGCAGUUUUAGGAAACCAUCAAAGAGAUGAUGGAAAACCCAAAAUAUUGGAUUAAUGGAAAAACUGAGGAAGUGAAAUUAACUAGAACUUUAUGACUGAUGAAAGAAGAGGAAAGCCACUAGCCUCUGGAUUGCUGUCUUUUUAGUUAUGCCAGUCUGAGACUCAGAAGAGACAUCUUUGGUUGGGACAUCAUUUUAGAAAGUAUUGGUGGUCUUAAUGUUAAAAUAAUAACUUAGUUGUGUUUACUUAGUACAGUUUUGAACACUUUGUAAUACAUAGAGAAAAGACUACUCUGUUGAUCUGCAAUGAUUUUUAAGUUUUAACUAAAUAUUAAAAUAUUUUGAAAUACAUCAAUGUAAGAUUCUUUCCUUCUAUAAUAUUUACUUUUAUAUUGUCACUAUAUCUUUAUAUUAGUAUUGAGUUAACAUAGAUUUCUUUAAUCGUAUUAUUCCUGUCCCCUCAUCUGCAGCAUGUAAUCUUUAAAGUUAAUAUGUUCUCAUUCAAAAGAUAACAUAUUCUAGGAAGAAGGAUAAUUAUGGUUAUUCUGACCAUGGAGUACAUUAAAUGUGCGUACACUUUACAUUUUAUGGAUUAAUUUUCCAAUAUUUUAAAUUAAUUUUGUAGGCCAAAGAAUAGCUAUGAAAGUUUCAUUUAUGGUGUUUUGGAUUAGAGGAACAGGCUGGGAGAAUGUGUGUGCAGGGAAAGCUGGGGUUUGUUUUGUGUUUGUUUUAGUCAGUGUACAGAUUAUAUAAUAACUUACUUGCUUGAACAAAUUUUCUGAAAAGGACUAUAUUAUUAACAAUGUGAAAUCUGACUCUUAUCUUUACAACACAUUUGGAAAACACCUACUUUCUGAACUAAAUUCGUAUGCUUUUAAAUUCCAUUAAGGAAUACAUUUGCAGGUUUCUCUCCAGGGUAUUACUGAGUUGUAUUUAUUAUGAUGAUCAGAAUAUAUAGCAAUUAAAAAUCUAACCAUCUGUGAUAAACCAUUUGAGAAAUCCAAGACUCUAAAAAAGAUAAAUACCUUUUGACAUAUUAAACUUUUGACACAUGUAUAGGAACCACAUACAACUAUACAAAAAAUUUUUUUAAUUAUUUUAUACAGUUUUAGGAUAAACAGGACAAAUUUAUCUUACUAAGUUAAGACAAACAUAGUACUAUUAAACACUGUCCUUAAAAAAAAGGACGCAAGAUCUGUGUCCAUUUGUUUAUUUACUAUUUUUAUUUUAUAAUUAUUUAAAAAUUAAUUUUUGGCUAGGUAUGGUGGCACAUGGCUGUAAUCCCAACACUUUGUGAGGCUGAGGCUGGAGGAUCUUUUAACCCCAGGAGUUAGAGACCAACCUGGGCAACAUGAAGACCCAGGCACCAGUAUUCUUUUAUGUACUCAGCCUUCAUUUUUCUCAUAUGGAUGGACAGCUUAUUACUUCAAGCAAUUACAACUCUGCCUGAUAAAUUCCUAUGCUGGCAAGAAUGUGAGAAGAGGCUAGAAGUAUGGGGAAUUAAGUACUCCUCAUCUCCUACCCUGACUCACCUUCCUCAACCACAGUCAUCAAAGAGUGAUUAAUGGAGCUUUGGUAAAUAAAGUACUCAAUCUGUGAAGUGUGUUCUCACAGUGUCCCACACCUCCCCGAGGGGCUCACCUGCCCACAGCAGUGCUCUCUGCUCUUCAGUCCACCUAGAUACUCUCUUCUCUUUGAUCUUGAAGCCUCCUUAUCCUGACCCAUCAUUCUUGGAACCACUAACCUAUAAAGUAAUUGCAAAUCAGACUCCUGUUUCAGGGUCUGUUUCUGAGGAUCCUCAACUUCAGACACUGUAAAUUUUUUUCAUGGUAAUGGUAAGGAAAAUGCAUUAUUUUAUCUGAAAUAUUCAUUUUGUAAUCUUUUCAUUAAUUAUCCAAUUGUUGAACAGAAAAAAAUUGCUUAUUACUUUAAAAAAUGCACACACAUAUUAAUAUCUGUUUAGAAUCAUAGAUUUCUGGCAAGUCAGCGUAUCCAUAAUGUAAACAGAUUUUUCUAACAAAAAAAAAUAGCUUUAGAGUUUCCCUCAACCUUAUUCAUCCUUAUAUUUCAUACAUUUUAAUACAACUUUUUUGUUAUCUGGCUCCCAAGCCCACUGCAACUAGGAGCUUCAAAUUAGAAUUGAAGAGAAAGUGUGCUAGUGCUAAAAAGACAAAAAAAAAUCAAAUGCAAAAAAAUUCAGGAAACAAAUCAUUUUACAACCCCAUCAUCUAGAACAAAGCUGAUACAUCUAGUUCGGCCUAUACAUAAAUAAAUUAAUAUUCAUAAUUUUGAUUCUAGAAUAUUAAGAAAAUCUUCAGUGAUGUUUAGAAUUAUUUUUUUAAGAAAUUUAAAAUGUUUAAUAUUUUUAAUGGCAAAUAAAAAUGUAUUGCUCCAACAACCCAUGCUCACCCCCAAAAAAUCACAUGGCAGAACUCAUUUUAAAAAUGCAAAUAUCUAAGAGAAACAUAAUCUAAACUGAAAUUUUGACAGUUGGACUUUACAAAAUGAAUGUUUUCUUUAUUCAUGUAUAAAAAUGGAUGCGUAAAGGAAUCCACAUAGGAAAGUAAAUAGUUACAUAUCUUUAGAAAGUAAGUCAUUUCAAAUUGUUAAAACAUUGAAAUGAGAAAAUAUGUUUUGUCUGAAAUAAUGGUUUUUUUCUAAUUUAUAGAACAAAUUGUUGCCUUUACUAAAAGCUCAAAAGAUCAAAGGAAGAUAAGUAGGGAUUUUAAAAUUUCUCACUAAAAUAUAUAUAUAUAAUAUGCAAAUUAAGAAGAAAGUUUAUCUAAGAAAAGGUUUAUAAAUAGAGCAAACAAUAAAGAGAUAAUUUGCAAAUUAACCAUAUUUUUAUUUCUUACAUCAUGUUAUAUACAUGCUGGAUCAACCUGUCAGUGGCAUUCAAAACAAAAUUGUGGAAACAUGUUAUUAAAAUAAGUAUUAAAUAUACUGAGUUCUAAUCUACAACUAUGCCCAGAAACAAUAAAAUGAGUCUAGUAUAGAAAAUUGUUCCUUUUUAUGCUCAAUAUUUUCAUGUUUAAUAAUAAACAUAUAUUAUUUUUCUCAUGUUUGAUGUCUUUUAAUAUAAUUCAGUAACUAAAUUCUCUUUCAAAUCCUGUAGGUUUUUGCAGAUACAUUUGGGAAAUCAUUUACCAUAGUUUCUGAAUCCUUACAGUGACUUUGGAGCAAUACUGUUUUAAUUAUCCAUAAAAUUUUUUAUUAUUUUGCCUAAAAUAGAAACACCACAAGAGGAUGUGAUGCUUUAGCUGUUUGUUCUGAACAUAUUUUGGAAAAAGAAGACAAUGAUUAUGUGUUUACACAUACAGAUGUCAGUUUAUAUAUUUCAGAUUUAGUUGAAAUUAAGUGCAUAUGUGAACAGAUUUUAAAUUUGUUUCCACACUUUCUCUUCUGAUACAUUCAUGUGAAAGUAUGAUAGCUUUCAUUGCCAUGUAUAUUUUUAAUAUAGUGAACUUUUUCAAACUAUUUGAUUAUCAUUCCAUUAGCCUUCAAAACCAGAAUCUUACUUUGUCUCCUGUAAAAUAAAGGAAUUUGUUCUAGGGCCUCUGUGAUUUCUUUUAAUGCGGUGAUUCAGAGUGUCCAGAUCACAAUAAGCUCCUUGAACCUGAGCACCAACUAUCUAUUGGUGAUGCCCUUACCUGUCACUUGGACUCUUUUCUUCUUCAUUCCAAUCCUUUGUGGUUAGUGAACUGUUUCACAUAUGGAGUCCUUCUUAAUACAUAAAAGAGACCCAAAGUUUUUAUUUCUUGAUUUAUAUAUGUCUCAUGUUCAUAUCUAAGUAUAAACUCCCAGAAGCAGAAACUAAUUUAGUAUUCUCCCUUUUUUGGAGGAUUAGUAUUCUCUCUUGUUCCUAGCACAAUACUUUGUGGAGAGCAGACUAUUAGCACAUAUGAUGAAUAUGUAUGUAUUAAUUGAUUUAAUUGCUUGGUUGAUAAUUAUGUGUUGCAGCUAAUAAGUUUCUUCCUUUCAAACUCUUCAGUAACAAUCCAAAUAUAUGAACUGGGCAAAUCUGAAAUUUAUUUGUUUUAAAGGCUAUCAUUAUGGCAUAAUUUUUAUUUUUUUCAUUGAACCUUGCUAAAAAAUCGACCUAGAAUAGUCCUCUAAUGUUAACUGUUUCCUCAGAGAUUUCUUAUACAAAUUAUGUAUAGAUGCAUAGCAAUACUGCUUGCUUUAAAUAACUGAAUUUUGUUUUGUUUUUUGGGUUUUUGUUUUUUUACAGCUGUGAAUUUUUUUUAAUCAGUGCAAACAAAAUAAGAUAAUAUUUAUAAUAAGAAAUGCUUUAAUAAAGUUCCUGGUCCUUCAAGUACAGAAAGUGAAGAAUAAAAUUGUCCCUGUAUCCUGCAGGAAAAUUAUCUCUGUUGGUAGCCUGCAAGUAAUUUAGGAAAUACAUGCUCCACUAGUUGUAUGGUAGAGCUGGUUGCCUGGGAUAAGGUACAAUAUUUAAAAUUUGUUUAUGCUUCAAUCAUUUUUUAAAAAAUAUUCAUAAUUCAGAGAGCUGACAGCAGAGAAGGCACUGUUUAUCUGCAAUUAUGCAAUAUUUGAAUUAAAUGAUAAAUAACAAGAAAAAGUAAAGACUAUUUAUUUUUCAGCUCAGUGAUUCUCAAAUUUCAGUAUAGACAACAACCCCAUGGGGUUCAUAUUACCAAUUCCUUGGAAGUAUUCUAGGCCUACACAUUAGAAAUCUCUGUGUGUGGAUUCCAGGAAUAUGCAUUUUUAAAAGACUUCUGCUCAGUCUAAGCCAGUGAGGAUUCAAAACAAAUUUGAAACUUACUCUUGAAGUUCCCUUAGGAUAAGAUUGGUCAUGGUUCAAGGCAUAAAAUAGACAUGCAAUAGACACUUGAAAGGUUGAAGUCUAAAUAUGAUUAACCUGUAAAAUGUGUUGAAAUUCUAAAACUAUAACUUUUUCCACAUCACUUAAACAGUCUCAUUUUCUUUAACUAUUAAAAUAAGUUAUGACAGUUGUUCUUACGUAAAUAUUGUUUAAUGAAUUUUAGUUUCACAAUAUGGAUGGUGCAUACAGAUUUCUACUGAAAAUUAACAUAAUUUUCAGUAGAAAAGAAUGGCAGUGCUUUUUCUUACUUUUUUCAUUCACUGUCAAUUAUUCCUCGAUUAGACUCAUAAAUAAUUUAUAUAAAGUUCAAUCUCUCCAGUUAUCAUUAUCAUUAGCUCUUGAAUUAAAACUGCUUCUUCUAUAUAUUAACAUAAUAUAUGACCCAAGAAUUGUGAGUCAUAGCAACAUUUAUCAAAGUGAAAUUGCUAGCCAAAUAAUAAAUAUUUAGACAAAAUUUAAUGAACUAGCUUACUGCUAAUUCAUAUGUAUUUUGAAUACUUCCUGUAGGUCCACAUUUUCUUGAUCAUGAGUAAUUACACAUAAUUAUAUGUCUAUAGAGAAAAAACUUAAUCUUUAUUUUUAUGCUUCCUUGAAAUGUGUAUAUGGUCUCAAAAUCAUUAUAUUGCUGAUUUUUAAAUUUCUAUCUUCCAUUAUGCAAAAUAAAUGACCAAAAUAUCCAUAUGUAUAUAAUUCCUUUCUUUCUCUUCAAAUAAUUUAUGACUUUGGGUACAUCUCUUCACUUUUUGCUCUGAAACUAAAAGCAUAAUUGUUUUGAACUAGUUAUCUCUAAACCCAUCUCCAAUACCAUUUUGUAAAUUAAUGUCAGCCUACUGCAAUUGUGAAACAUCUGCCAACUUAGUUAUUUGUUCCUUUUUUCACUUAGUCAGCAGCUACUAGGUCCCAAGUACUAGAUUUAAAAAGUGGAUGACACAAGAGCUAAACUAAAUAGCAAAGUAUAUGUAAAGACAUUAAUUAUUUUACUGCAUACACCAAUAAUCAAGCCAAAAAAUAAAAACCAUUACUCUGCUCCAAGACUAAAAAAGCCAAUAAAUGAAAAUUUUCUUCAUAAUUUUUUCUUUAGAAAUGCAAAAUCCACUCAUUUAUUCAACAUACAUAUAGAAAGUUUUUAUCUUAUACCAGGUUCUGUGGUAGGCCAUCAAGAUACACAAAUAAGACAGUGACUGUCUAUAGGGAGUUCAAACCUAAUGAUAGGAACACAUGUACAUGAGAAAUUAAUACAUAUUUUAAUGUAAAAAAUAAAUAUAUCUCGAAUACUCCACUAAGGUAAUAUUAUACUUAUGAUGUUGAUUAAACUAUUUAUGAUUUAUAUGUUAUAGAUACAAAGUGACGCAACAUCCCAUCUAGCUGGGGACACAAACACAUGCACACAAUACACACAUGCUCACUUGUAAUACUUAAACAUAAAUAAUAAAGUGAGAGGAGAGGAAACUAAAUUUUUUGGUUUUGUAAUUUGUACAAAGCAUGAAUUAUGUGGUUUAUGUAAAUCACAUUUAAUCAAAACCAAUCAGUAAAUAUGAGCAAUAUUAGUAAUUAUUUUAUGAUGAGGAAAGUUAGAUUCAGAGAGACCAAGUACCUUCUGCAAAAACUAAUAUAAUCAUAGUUCAAACAUAAGUCUGACUUGUUGUCACAGAUGUGCUUUCCAUAAUUUUGCACUAUGUUAACAGUGUGAAUUAGAUUAAAAAUAAAAGAAAGAAAGCAGGUGACACAGUAAAACUUUCUGCAGGAUUUAAAUGAUGUGCUUUACAUGGGAUUUAAAGAAGUUGUAGUAGACAUGAAAGAAACAGAAUGUGAGUGAAAUUUGAUGGAUGAAUGUGAUUUGAUAUACGAGCUACCAUUGCAUAUGUAUAAUUAGUGCAGUUGUGGUAUUCUUUGAAGAUUGAGCAUAAUUACUAAAAUAGCCUUUUAUCUAUAGAAAGGACACUUAUCGGCUGAGAAAGAAUGAAUAUUUGGAAAGGAAUGAACAUGUGGAAAAUAAUGAAUAAAUCAAUUUUCCAUAACGUUGGAUUAUAAACAUUUCUGUGUGUAAGAUACAUAGAGCAAGUAUUAAAAAUGCAAAUUACCCAGACUUUCUGGAGUCCAACUCAUCAGCAUCUCUCCGAGUAAGACCCUGGAAUUUUUGUUUUAAUAAACACGAUAGAGGCUUUUGAUACAGGUGGUUUGAAAACUAUUGCUUGAGAAGCAUUAGCUCGAAAGGGAAUGAUAAUCGUAGUGAAAGACAGUAUAUGAAUGGAUGAUAGAUAGAUGAAAUCAUUGAUUUUGGACACAAAUUUGAGGGGAUAGCCAUAAAAUAUUGUGUUUUUUUAAAAUAAUGGGAUUUGCAAAGUAAUGUGUUUUAAAUGCUAAUGGAAGAUGACUAUACAAUCCUCUAUAUGAUGUUAAUAAGAACUAACUAAAAUAAAAUAGAGCUUUCUAUUGCUUUCCCAAGACAUAUGAAUUCUAUAAUAAUAAUAGCAGCUAAUAUUUAACUAGCCCAAAAUAUGAGUUAAAUACUAUUCAGCAUGUUACAUAGGUAAAUUACUGAAGAUAACAGCAAUCCAAUGAGUUAUAUCUCAUAAGUAUCUCACUGUUACAGAUUAGACAACUGAGAAGAAGUGGCUAGGUGAUUUGCCCCCAAAUGAUUGGAAAGUGGCAUGAUUACAGAGUCCAUGAACUUCAUUGAUAUAAGGUACUAAUUUGAUGGUUUCAACUUAUUUUUAUUUUAAGUAUUCAGGUUAAUCUGUAGUGAAAAUUGUUUCAGUUAAUUUAUUUUUCAUUUAGUAAAUACUUUCCAAAUAUUUACAGUAUUUCCUCCAAAUUCCUACAGAAGUUUUAAAUAUUAUUUAUAGUAUAAAAUGUCACUAUAGAGAUCAUUUCAGAUCUAUUUGACAUGUAUCUUAGCCAUUUACUUUAUUUCCAUCCAUCUUUGUCUUAGACAUACAGAAAUAUGUCCACAAAUAAUGGGAAAAUAAAUGUAAAUUCACUUAAGUGACUGGAAAAACCCAUAACCAGUGUCAACUGUCAAGUGAAUUAGAAAAACGGAAUGAAUAAUGACUGAGCAUAUAUAAUUCUGCUGAUGGUGUGGAUUUACUGAUACGUAUGUGACAUUUGUCCCACAAAUAAAUACGGAGAGGAGUGAACUUUUUAAAACACAUUAAAUAUAUCUUUGGGGAAUUUAUGACAAACUUUUCUUAAAAUAGGUUACUUGGAUUGUUCUACUUACACCCUUACAUAGCACCCAUCCUAACAGUACCAGUUUAGCAUACAAAUGACAAGACUUGCAGUAAAGCUACUCUUUUGAAAAAACAAAGGCAAAAGCAAAACACAAUGCUUACUGCAUUGUCAUAAGUAGACAUUUAAAUAAAACAUCAAAUUUAUUUAUUUAUUCAGAAUAAAUAAAAAGCUUAACGAAGAAACCACUUAACAUAUGAGUUGAAAACUUUAAAAUAUAUGUCAAUUGGGGUGCCCAAGGCUGUUAACCAUCAAAAGUUGAAAGUGUGCUGUUUACGUAAAUUAAUGGAAUUUUUAAAUAUGGUCAGGAAUAAUUAUAUAUCUGAGAGAUAAUAUGUUCAAUAAAAUGAACUAUGCAGAUGAAAUUGUGCUGUCUGGAAAGAUCUCAAAUAUAUAACUUACUAGAUAAGUAACUCUAAGCAUAAACUAGCUCUGUUUCAGUUUGCCUUUAUAUAAAAAGGAAUAUUACAACAUACCUGAUAUAGUUAUUCUUAAAACAAAAUGUGCUAAUGCAGGUCGGAGAGUUCUGAAUCAACAUAAGCUCGCCACACCUAUUUAGCUAUUUUCAUCAUCAUUAUCUCUGAAAACAUAAAUGAAAUAAUAUAGGCAAAACUUUUUUAAAUGAUAGUUCUUCAUCUUAUUAUUUAUAUAGUAAACCAUGUACAAUGUAAACUAUUAAAAGUGUAAAACCUCAAUAUAUAAAACUCCUAGAAGAAACAUAAACAAAAUCCUUCAUGACCUUGGGGUGGACAAAAGCUUCUUAAAUGGAAAAUCUAAGGCAUGAAACAUAAAAGAAAAUUUUGAUAAAUUGAAUUUCAUCAAAAGUAAAUACUUUUGCUCUUCACGGGUCAUCAGUAAGAAAAUGAAUAACAGAGUCAUAGAAUGGGAGAAAAUAUUCACUUCAUGCAUAACUGACAAAGAACUUGUAUUGAGAACUCUUAGAAGUCAACAAAGAGGCAAUCAACAAUAUAAAAAUAGUCAAACUCUUUAAGAAACAAUUCAUGAAAGAUCAUUAUGAAUAGCCAAAUGCACAUCAAAAAUCUUAACAUCAUCACUCAUCACAGAAAUGCAAAUUAAAACCAUGAUACCCUUACACACCCAUUAGACUGGCUAAAGUUAAAAAGACUGAUUGUUAUACUACUGACGGGAAUGUAAAAUGAUACUAGUACUUUUAAAAAUUGUUUGACAGCUUUUUUUAAAAAGUGAAAGUUAUACCUGUCAUAUAAUCUAGCCAGGAACAGCUAUGUUAUUGGUAGGACCCAUUGCACAAUGAAUGUAUAAAAUAUAAAAAAUUAAAUGUAAUAUACACAUAUAAUAAAUUUAUUUUCAAGUCUCUCAAGUAAUACCAUGUAUUGUCUCUUGUACUCUCAGUUUUGUUCUAAGAACAUAACAUUUUAUUUCAGUUGAAGAAAUAGUUGUUUUUUGUUCGGAAUCUAGAAAUUAAAUAAUGUCUGUAAUUUUAUUACAAACUCUCAUACUCUGUUUAAGGUGUGAUUUUGCAGAUCCAUGGCACAGGAACACGGAAAUCUUUAUUGCAUUUGUCAUAAGUUACUUCUAUCUUUAUAGCAAUACAAAGGAGCUCCUUAGCUCAGGGUUGAAUAAUUAAGAAUUACUAAAUCUGAAACUUGGAAUAGGAUGAAUGACAUGACACUUAACUUCAUGGAUAUUUGAGAUGCAUAUUUAAUUUCUAAAUAAAAAAGAAGAUGUAAAUUUCCUUAACAAGUGAAUUUAUCUCUGCUGGGAUCAUAUUCUCUGCUUUAUUCAUCAUUUUGUUUCUUUAUUAUCCCAUGAUUAUUUUUUAUGCCCGCUGCCACAUGCGUUAUGGGAAAAACAAAAUAAAUGAACACCAAACAAAAACACACAUUCACCGUCUCUUUAUUGGACUAAGGUUGAGUUUCAGUUACUAGCUAUCACUGACUAUAUUUCUAGGGAUUCAAUUCCUGUUCCUACUUGACGCUGCAUAAGUUAUCAACAUUCCUAAACAAGAAAUGAGCUCUACUUUUAUGAUGGCUCUCAAAAAUAUCAACUAUAGCUCUCCGUAUCUCUGUGUUUUUUCUUGCUUAGAAAUGCUUAGCUUUUCUGAGACCUAGGAUGUGCUGCUGCCUAGGUUUAUGGCUCACCCUAUCUGUCAUCCAAAAAA